AUGGCAGGACAAUCGCUAAAUCAACUAUCAUCAGCUGAAGCUAUCUUGGUGGGAGCCUUGUCCUCUGGUGUUAAUGCUCCCACGUGGGUCGUGCUCCAGAUCACAUUUUUGCUACUGGCAUUCUGCUUCACCGCGAUGCUUUACCUAGCCUUUUUCUCAAGCGACUUUGUGAUCGUCGGUCACGUCCUUCUGCUCAUAACCAUCGGCGCGGUUCUAUUUGUGCUCCUCAACAGGUUCCUCGCGGAGACCGGCUUCGUCCCGGUCGAACAGCAGAUGCAGGAGAUAGAGAUCCGCAAACCAGAAGCCACAGAGAAAGACAAGAGCAAAUGA
rnacentral:rRNA from 1 species